GAUGAACGCUGGCGGCGUGCCUAAUACAUGCAAGUAGAACGCUGAAGGAGGAGCUUGCUCUUCUGGAUGAGUUGCGAACGGGUGAGUAACGCGUAGGUAACCUGCCUGGUAGCGGGGGAUAACUAUUGGAAACGAUAGCUAAUACCGCAUGACAACAGUUAUUGCAUGAUAACUGUUUAAAAGGGGCAACUGCUCCACUACCAGAUGGACCUGCGUUGUAUUGGCUAGUUGGUGAGGUAACGGCUCACCAAGGCGACGAUACAUAGCCGACCUGAGAGGGGGAUCGGCCACACUGGGACUGAGACACGGCCCAGACUCCUACGGGAGGCAGCAGUAGGGAAUCGUCGGCAAUGGAUGGAAGUCUGACCGAGCAACGCCGCGGGAGUGAAGAAGGUUUUCGGAUCGUAAAGCUCUGUUGUAAGAGAAGAACGAGUGUGAGAGUGGAAAGUUCACACUGUGACGGUAUCUGACCAGAAAGGGACGGCUAACUACGUG
rnacentral:rRNA from 1 species